rnacentral:tRNA from 1 species
GUGCUCGUAGCUAAAUUGGAUAAAGCGUCUGACUACGGAUCAGAAGGUUAUGGGUUCGACUCCUUUCGGGUGCGCCA